rnacentral:rRNA from 1 species
UACGAAGGGGGCUAGCGUUGCUCGGAAUCACUGGGCGUAAAGGGUGCGUAGGCGGGUUUUUAAGUCAGAGGUGAAAUCCCAAGGCUCAACCUUGGAACUGCCUUUGAUACUGGGGAUCUUGAGUCCGGGAGAGGUGAGUGGAACUGCGAGUGUAGAGGUGAAAUUCGUAGAUAUUCGCAAGAACACCAGUGGCGAAGGCGGCUCACUGGCCCGGUACUGACGCUGAGGUGCGAAAGCGUGGGGAGCAAACAGG